UCUCCCGGUUGUGCCCAAGGUCCCUUACCAUCCAGUAUCUCCUCCCAUGUCCAAGAAUCCUGUGUAGGUGGGUCCUGUUGCCGCUUUACAUGCCGCUUGGUCCUGCAUUGGUGGGUAAUUCUGUCACGAUCGUGUGGGGGAUUGACGGACCAAAACGCAGCAUUUGGAAAAUAAGCCAUCUUCCUUUUAUUGAGGAGAAGGAAAAAACGAAACAAAAACACUUACAAACUAACCAAACAAAAAAACGACCGUGAAGCUAACAAACGUCGUGCACAUACACAGGCUACAAACGUUCAGACAUAGACAAUUACCCACAACAAACUAAAACCUAUGGCUACCUUAAAUAUGGCUCCCAAUCAGAGACAACAGAAAUCAGCUGUCUCUAAUUGGGAACCCAUUCAGGCAACCAUAGACUUUCCUAGACAACUACACCCAACAUAGACACAGCUAGACACAUACACUCAACACAAACCCAUACACUACACCCAACACCCCCUUUACCAUAUAACCACCCAAAACCGACAAAACACAAACAUUCCCCAUGUCACACCCUGACCUAACUAAAAUAAUAAAGAAAACAAAGAAUACUAAGGCCAGGGCGUGACAUCAACAUUUUCUUAACGUUUGUCAUAAUUAGUUAAAGCAAUGAAUUUGUAUCCGCUUUCAGCUGCAUAGUUUCCGCCAUUUUCUUAAAAACUGAAAAUGUUGUGAAGCCACGCCCAUUUCCUGAAGAACUGCAUUAUGGACCCUAAAAGCACGGAAAUAGUGUCCUCUGUUUGUAUAAUUCGUAUUUUAGCAAAUUUAGGACGACAUCCGGAAACUUUUGGCUAACUAUACCAUGACCAAUAAGCAUACGACAUAUUCAAUUUACAUCACAAAUAGUACGGUUAGUGCAGAUAGUAUGAGUAUUCGAACACAGCUUUGGGAUAUGAUUUUCCAGAAAAAUAAGGAAUGACUUCGUGAAAUGGACCAAAGUGGGCACCUAAUCACGUUUCACUUCAUUGUAUUGACUUAGCAAGAGAAAAGUCCAGCCUGACUCAUUUUUGGGGGUUGAAGGAAAUCCCAACCUAACAUCGUGCCGAUGUAAAGAACUUGUUGUGAACCUUCCAUCCACCAGGAUAAUCAUUAUAUCCUAGGAUAUUAUUCAGGAGUGUGCAACAUUGCAAUGUUAGAUAGAAAUAGAUUCACACAUGUUGUUGUUUAUCAUGCAGAUUUGUCAGGACAUCGUAAUUUAUGAAGCUCAUUCUAAAAUGCAGAUGUGAUAUCUGUGCCAGGGAAUUGCGCUGUGUGCAAGUCUUCAAUUUAGACUACAAUUAGUUGAAUUAGGUGUUAGCGAAGGGCUGGAACAAAAUCUAUAAAUCCUGUCCGGUGUAUAAAAAAAACCUGUGGCUGUCAUGACUAAAUUUGCCCUCAUGUACUGAACACCUUUAUGAAUGUUGGAGGUUAAUCUUGAGAUGUCCCUCACUUGGGAAUUACUUAUUUUGUACAAUAUACUGUGGUUUAAGGACUCAUUCACAGAUACAGAACCUCCCCCCUAAAUGUUACCAUAUAUUCCAAAUUAAAAGUGUUGACGUCUCCACAUGUUUCUGGUUUUGAGGUAAUGUUAUCUGGGUGACUGCAGUUCUUCUGUCUAAUCCCUUGAAGGGGAGAGAAAUGCAUUAAUAUUACAAUGCUAUAUUUAUCUAAUUUCCUAUAUACAGUAAUCCUGUUUGCAAUGCAUUCAUGUAAUUAUAUUGGACAUGUUAUCCUUCAUCACAUGCCAAUAUUUGUUUUGUAUCCAAUACAUUUAGCUUACAUUAGGAUGAAGUAGCCUAGGCCUUCUAAUAUAGUUAGUUUGCAUCAUAUCACCUUUCAAUUAGUUAUCCAAGAAUAUAAAACGAUGUUAUCUUGAACAUCUGUGUCAUUUCAUAAUAUGCACAGGUGUGAUAGUUGUAUGAAUUAAUCACAAUGCAAGCCUACUCAUUAGAAAAAAUCAGCAGCUCUAAUGCAAUAUUAUAGUGGUCGCUCCACUAAAGGUUUUGCGAUUAUACUGCGGGAUUUAGAGGUAAUUUGUGGUUUAGUAUGGUACCCUGCAUCACUACUUCAUCGCUCCAGACCAGUGCAAGGGGGAGUUAGAGCACUGAUUAUGCUUUUGGGUCCCAAGGCGCUACUGUGUCUCUAACUGACAAUGAAUGGGCGACAUAAACCUAAAUAGAAACGGAUUAUUGUACACGACUUCAGUAUUACUUACUAAAACUGUUGUUACACUAAGGUUUUUAUUGUAAGAGAAACUUAUUUUGCUCUUUCAGUAGUACUGUAGCCUACUCCCAACCAAUCACCUUGUACAGCUCCUGAGUGGCACAGUGGUCUAAAUCACUGUGUUUUAACUGAUGCUGGUUCAAUACCUGUGCUGGCCUCAACUGGGAGGCCCAUGAGAUGACUGUAGGUUUUUGGUUUCUCUCCCUCUAAAAACAUAAAUAAAUCAUUCUAAAUAAACUGGCUUUUUUUAAAAAACAAAUUAGUAACAAUGUCUCACCCCAUGUUCAAGAAUGGUAUUUUUCUCGCUCAUUUUACAUUAUUUUAAUACAAAAUCAUCUCCAAAAUAGUGUUA